UCUGGUUGAUCCUGGCAGAGGUUACUGCUAUCGAGGUUCGACUAAGCCAUGCGAGUCGAAUGUAGCAAUACAUGGCGUACUGCUCAGUAACACGUGGACAACCUACCCUUAGGCCUGGGAUAACCCCGGGAAACUGGGAAUAAUACCGGAUAUCUCGCGAAUGCUGGAAUGCGUCGCGAUAGAAAGCUCCGGCGCCUAAGGAUGGGUCUGCGGCCUAUCAGGGUAGUAGUGGGUGUAACGUACCUACUAGCCUACGACGGGUACGGGUUGUGAGAGCAAGAGCCCGGAGAUGGAUUCUGAGACACGAAUCCAGGCCCUACGGGGUGCAGCAGGCGCGAAAACUUUACAAUGCCGGCAACGGCGAUAAGGGGACCUCGAGUGCCAGGAUACAAUCCUGGCUGUCGUAAUGCCUAAAAAGCAUUGCAUAGCAAGGGCCGGGCAAGACCGGUGCCAGCCGCCGCGGUAACACCGGCGGCUCGAGUGGUAACCGCUAUUAUUGGGUCUAAAGGGUCUGUAGCCGGCUGACUAAGUCUCUUGGGAAAUCUGGCAGCUUAACUGUCAGGCUUUCAGGGGAUACUGAUCGGCUCGAGACCGGGAGAGGUGAGAGGUACCUCAGGGGUAGGGGUGAAAUCUUGUAAUCCUUGAGGGACCACCAGUGGCGAAGGCGUCUCACCAGAACGGAUCUGACGGCAAGGGACGAAAGCUAGGGGCACGAACCGGAUUAGAUACCCGGGUAGUCCUAGCCGUAAACGAUACUCGCUAGGUGUCGGCCACGGUGCGACCGUGGUCGGUGCCGUAGGGAAGCCGUGAAGCGAGCCACCUGGGAAGUACGGCCGCAAGGCUGAAACUUAAAGGAAUUGGCGGGGGAGCACUACAACGGGUGGAGCUUGCGGUUUAAUUGGAUUCAACGCCGGAAAUCUCACCGGGACCGACAGCAAUAUGAAGGCCAGGCUGAAGACCUUGCCGGAUUAGCUGAGAGGUGGUGCAUGGCCGUCGUCAGUUCGUACUGUGAAGCAUCCUGUUAAGUCAGGCAACGAGCGAGACCCA
rnacentral:rRNA from 1 species